rnacentral:rRNA from 1 species
GAGCACUGUUUCGGCUAGGGGGCCAUCCCGGCUUACCAACCCGAUGCAAACUGCGAAUACCGGAGAAUGUUAUCACGGGAGACACACGGCGGGUGCUAACGUCCGUCGUGAAGAGGGAAACAACCCAGACCGCCAGCUAAGGUCCCAAAGUCAUGGUUAAGUGGGAAACGAUGUGGGAAGGCCCAGACAGCCAGGAUGUUGGCUUAGAAGCAGCCAUCAUUUAAAGAAAGCGUAAUAGCUCACUGGUCGAGUCGGCCUGCGCGGAAGAUGUAACGGGGCUAAACCAUGCACCGAAGCUGCGGCAGCGACGCUGAUGCGUUGUUGGGUAGGGGAGCGUUCUGUAAGCCUGCGAAGGUGGCCUGUGAGGGUUGCUGGAGGUAUCAGAAGUGCGAAUGCUGACAUAAGUAACGAUAAAGCGGGUGAAAAGCCCGCUCGCCGGAAGACCAAGGGUUCCUGUCCAACGUUAAUCGGGGCAGGGUGAGUCGACCCCUAAGGCGAGGCCGAAAGGCGUAGUCGAUGGGAAACGGGUUAAUAUUCCCGUACUUGGUGUUACUGCGAAGGGGGGACGGAGAAGGCUAUGUUGGCCGGGCGACGGUUGUCCCGGUUUAAGCGUGUAGGUGUGUGUUCCAGGUAAAUCCGGUUCACUUUAACACUGAGGCGUGAUGACGAGGCACUACGGUGCUGAAGCAACAAAUGCCCUGCUUCCAGGAAAAGCCUCUAAGCAUCAGGUAACAUCAAAUCGUACCCCAAACCGACACAGGUGGUCAGGUAGAGAAUACCAAGGCGCUUGAGAGAACUCGGGUGAAGGAACUAGGCAAAAUGGUGCCGUAACUUCGGGAGAAGGCACGCUGACACGUAGGUGAAGUGAUUUACUCAUGGAGCUGAAGUCAGUCGAAGAUACCAGCUGGCUGCAACUGUUUAUUAAAAACACAGCACUGUGCAAACACGAAAGUGGACGUAUACGGUGUGACGCCUGCCCGGUGCCGGAAGGUUAAUUGAUGGGGUCAGCGCAAGCGAAGCUCCUGAUCGAAGCCCCGGUAAACGGCGGCCGUAACUAUAACGGUCCUAAGGUAGCGAAAUUCCUUGUCGGGUAAGUUCCGACCUGCACGAAUGGCGUAAUGAUGGCCAGGCUGUCUCCACCCGAGACUCAGUGAAAUUGAACUCGCUGUGAAGAUGCAGUGUACCCGCGGCAAGACGGAAAGACCCCGUGAACCUUUACUAUAGCUUGACACUGAACAUUGAGCCUUGAUGUGUAGGAUAGGUGGGAGGCUUUGAAGUGUGGACGCCAGUCUGCAUGGAGCCGGCCUUGAAAUACCACCCUUUAAUGUUUGAUGUUCUAACGUGGACCCGUGAUCCGGGUUGCGGACAGUGUCUGGUGGGUAGUUUGACUGGGGCGGUCUCCUCCUAAAGAGUAACGGAGGAGCACGAAGGUUGGCUAAUCCUGGUCGGACAUCAGGAGGUUAGUGCAAUGGCAUAAGCCAGCUUGACUGCGAGCGUGACGGCGCGAGCAGGUGCGAAAGCAGGUCAUAGUGAUCCGGUGGUUCUGAAUGGAAGGGCCAUCGCUCAACGGAUAAAAGGUACUCCGGGGAUAACAGGCUGAUACCGCCCAAGAGUUCAUAUCGACGGCGGUGUUUGGCACCUCGAUGUCGGCUCAUCACAUCCUGGGGCUGAAGUAGGUCCCAAGGGUAUGGCUGUUCGCCAUUUAAAGUGGUACGCGAGCUGGGUUUAGAACGUCGUGAGACAGUUCGGUCCCUAUCUGCCGUGGGCG